AGGAGUGGAGCCUGCGGCUUAAUUUGACUCAACACGGGGAAACUCACCAGGCCCAGACACUGGAAGGAUUGACAGAUUGAGAGCUCUUUCUUGAUUCAGUGGGUGGUGGUGCAUGGCCGUUCUUAGUUGGUGAAUUGGUUUGUCUGGUUAAUUCCGAUAACGAACGAGACUCUAGCCUACUAAAUAGACGUUAAACUUUCUAGUAUCUCGAAGGCUCACAUCUUUCGUUUCUUUACUGCACAUCGCCUUGCAUUUCGGUGUUUGGUUGUUGUGUGGUGGGCGGAAGUUUGUGGUUUUUACUACUAGCGUACAUAUAAAUCUUCUUAGAGGGACAGGCGGCUUCUAGCCGCACGAGGUAGAGCAAUAACAGGUCUGUGAUGCCCUUAGAUGUUCUGGGCCG
rnacentral:rRNA from 1 species